UACAGAGAGUGCGAGCGUUAAUCGGAAUUACUGGGCGUAAAGCGCAUGUAGGUGGAUAUUUAAGUCGGAUGUGAAAUCCCUGGGCUUAACCUGGGAAUCGCAUUCGAUACUGGAUAUCUCGAGUAUGGUAGAGGGAAGUGGAAUUUCCGGUGUAGCGGUGAAAUGCGUAGAUAUCGGAAAGAACAUCAGUGGCGAAGGCGGCUUCCUGGCCCAAUACUGACACUAAAGUGCGAAAGCGUGGGGAGCAAACAGG
rnacentral:rRNA from 1 species